GGCAGAUCUAGCCCUGGCCCCCACUAGGGCCCCAGACCAGCUGAGGUGGCCACAGGGACAAUGAUGCCAUUUGCUUCUAGCACUCCUGCCCUCAUCCCCUGAGGCCCCUCCCCUCCUCCCAGUGGAGAGUUCUGGACAGGAAUAGGCCUGAGCUUUUAGGACGGCAGGUGUUCUUAAAGAUGAAUAAUGCUCCACCCCCCAUGCUGGGUCUUCUGGGGAUGAGCCACAGCCUGGAGGAGCUGAGGAGGCCACAUCACAUGAGGAAGCUUUACUGUUUCCCCUUCUCCUGAAAUGUGUCUGGGAUGGAGAGUGUGGAGAGUGGGCCCACCUUUAUCUGGGUCCACUCAGGCUGCUGCAGAGACUACCCCAGACUGGGUGGCUGAUAGACAAGACAUUCAUUUUCCACACUUCCUGAGACUGAGAAGUCUGAGAUGAAGGAUCUUGGAGGACCUGGGGAUCAACAGCCAGACUUGGAUGCUCAGGAUGAUUUGGGAUGUGCUUCUAACUACCUGUACUGUCUGGAGAAACCUAGAAGCAAGGAAGCUGCCACCAUGAUGCAGCGGGGAGUCCGAGGCCCUGGGAGGUCAUAUGACUCAUUCAAGGUCAUCCUGCUGUGGCAGAGAUGCGAUGAAGCCCUGGCUUUGUGAGUACCUGGUCUAACCUUCUCAUUAUUCUGGAGGAAGCUCUGAGACAAAGGUAGGGUGCAAGAGGCCAGGAGCAAAGGUAGAGGAGGCCUAGGCCUGGUUGGGUCCCGCCCCAACUGACCGUGACUUCCUUUAGCCUCUAUGAAUCUGUCGUGGAGGGAUGAAUCCCUGCUAUGCUCCCUUUUCAGGCUGCUGGGCCACCCAUGGUCAUUGCGGUAAUUUAAGAACACAGCCAUACGUUCUUCAACACUCCUCUUAUUGAGUAACAACCUCUGUGAUCCCUCCCCUUUAGUCUGGGCAGAUUUGUGACUGCUUCACCCUGCAGAGAAUGGCAGAAGAGAUGCCAAGUUAGUAAAGACCAUGCAGCUUUUGCUCACUGGCUCAUGUGCUCCUGGAGCCCUGAGCCACCACAGAGGGUGUAAGAAGAAUCACUGAUCGGGGGCUGCCAUGCUGUAAGGAUGCCCAAGCCACAAGGAGAGUCUGGGUUUAGGCACUCUGGUUAGCAGUCCCAGCUGAGCCCAGCCAUCAAGCCUCUCCUGCUGUUUGAGUUUUCCCAGCUGAGGCCUCAGAUGUCAUGGAGCAGAGACAAAUCUGCCCUGUUAUGCUCGGUCUGAACUCCUGGCCCAUAGAACCUGGGAGCAGGG
rnacentral:lncRNA from 1 species